rnacentral:tRNA from 1 species
GCCUGGCUGGCUCAGUUGGUAGAGCAUAGGACUCUUGAUCUCAGGAUUGUGAGUUCAAGCCCCAUGUUGGCUA